CAGCAUCCCAUUUUGUGUGACUGAGAUUGUACUUGUGUAUUGUGCUUUUCCACACAUAAUGAAUAUUCACCAGUUCAAAAUCCCAAAGCUAUAUAAAUACUUUCGAUAACCAAGAAUACACUGCACCAACUCAAUCUGUUAGAAAAAAAAAAUUGUAAUCCUGCCUUUCUUGGGAACAAAAAUUUCACUGAAAGCUGAAAUGGCAACAGGCCUCUAGAUAGACAUAUUGGCAGAGUUACAACUAAAAUAAUGCAUUUUCUUAAUGCUCAAUUUAAAAUGAAACAUAAAGCAACAGAGUACACCAAGCAGAAUGCUUCUAAGAGGAUUCAUUAUCAGAUUUCUACCACUAAAAUAAUAGCAAGAAAGCAGGUUCCCAGUGAAUUAAAGAUGCGCACACACCAAUGGCUCACAUCAGAAUAGAAAUCCUUAAGCACUUG
rnacentral:lncRNA from 1 species